AUUGAACGCUGGCGGCAUGCCUAAUACAUGCAAGUCGAACGAGUGGCGGACGGGUGAGUAAUGUCUGGGAACCUGCCUGAUGGAGGGGGUUAACUACUGGAAACGGUAGCUAAUACCGCAUACCAUCAGAUGUGCCCUGAUGGGAUUAGCUAGUUGGUGGGGUAACGGCUCACCAAGGCGACGAUCCCUAGCUGAUCUGAGAGGGUGACCGGCCACACUGGAACUGGGACACGGUCCAGACUCCUACGGGAGGCAGCAGUGGGGAAUAUGGCACAAUGGGCGAAAGCCUGAUGCAGCCAUGCCGCGUGUAUGAAGAAGGCCUUCGGGUUGUAAAGUACUUUCAGCGGGGAGGCGUUACCCGCAGAAAAAGCACCGGCUAACUACGUGCCAGCAGCCGCGGUAAUAC
rnacentral:rRNA from 1 species